GAGCUUCUUCCCUCAGAAAUCCGUGUUGAAGCGGUCGUUCUCACCACCGUUCAUGUUCUGUUGUUCCUGCUGGAGCUGCUUUCUGCCAGCAGAUGUCACCGUUCCCUCUGUUUUAGCACAAAGGAGGUUUAUCAGAAUGGAUGCAGUGAACACUGAACUGAUGCUGUGAAUGCUUUCUUCCUGACUGACUUGGUGUUGUAAAGGUUAAGUGUCAUCAUGAUGUAGUUAAACUGGAUUUAAAAUGAUGGAAACUGGAUUUGAAAUUAAACUCGGCACACAAGUUUCACAAACGUCCACUUGGACUCAAGUAUGACCUGAUUAGAGUUUGGUGGUCAAAGGUCAAAGUGUCCUCACAAUACAUAUU